GGAUGUGAGGGCAAUCUGGAUGCAACAUCUGUCACCCCAUUGAUCGCCAGUGUUGAUUCGGCUGAUCUGGCUGGCUAGGCGGGUGUCCCCUUCCUCCCUCACUGCUCCAUGUGUGUCCCUCCCGAAGCUGCGUGCUUGGUCAAAGAGGACGACCAUCCCCGAUAGAGGAGGACCGGUCUUCGGUCAAGGGUAUAUGAGUAGCUGCACUCCCCUGCUAGAACCUCCAAACAAGCUCUCAAGAAACGUCUGUGAGCUAAAACAACAUGUUCUAACCCAAUGCAAAGAAACUAAGAACCUUGAAAAAAGAUUU
rnacentral:snRNA from 1 species